rnacentral:lncRNA from 1 species
GGCAAGGAAAAUACAUCUCAACAAUAUGUCCCGGCAAAGGAAUACAACCCAACAAAUGGUCCUGGCAAGGGAAUACAACUCAACAAAUGAUCCCGGCAAGGGAAAAGUACUAAAAAUUCCUUUUUAGUUCAUUUAAUUCUCAACUUUCAGUUCAUAGUUCUUGUAACAAGCAAUUAUCACAAUUGCUCACUUAUUUCACAAUUUAAUAGCAAGUAUGACAUCACAAUCAUGCUUGACUCGGACGCAUAGGUAACCGUCACCAUACCUAUACACCGACCCAACAUAGCACAUAAAAAAUAACAAUCUAAU